rnacentral:lncRNA from 1 species
AUCAUAGAAGUUGAUUCCAUGAUGAACAAGAGAUAACUAUAAUGAAAGAAUUGUGUGUCCAUUCUACAAGACACAUACAUAGUUAUGUAAGUAUGAUCCCUAUUCAGUCCCGGGGCAAAGGCACAUUGAAAGGAACAAUACUUGAGGCAUGCAAUUUGGUCAUGCCAAGGUCACAGUCAUGCAUACAAUGUGAUCCUGAAACUAGAUGUGCACAAUUUAUUUCUUUAAAAUAUACAAACUUUCAGGCUUAUAGAAAUGUUUGUGCAAAGAUUGCCCUUGUAUCAAAACUUGAUGUAUUAGCCUGGUAUAGCAGAAUACACCUUCAGUCCCAGCACUCUGGAGGUUGGAACAGUAGGAUAGCAAGUUCCAGGCUAGCCUGGGGUAUAUAGUGAUGCCCUGUCUCAUAAAACAAGCAAAAAAAAAAAAAAAAAA